CUCUUAGAUGUUCUGGGUCGCACACGCGCUACACUGAAGGAGGCAGCGUGUACUCCUGGAUCGAAAGAUUUGGGUAACCCGCGAAUCUCCUUCGUGCUAGGGAUUGAGGUUUGCAAUUAUCCUUCAUGAACGAGGAAUUCCCAGUAAGUGCAAGUCAUAAGCUUGCGCUGACUACGUCCCUGCCCUUUGUACACACCGCCCGUCGCUACUACCGAUUGAAUGAUUUAGUGAGGACUUCGGACUGGGACCGAUGCGGCUUUCGGGCUGCGUCGGUAUUCUGGAAAGAUGUCCAAACUGUAUCAUUUAGAGGAAGUAAAANUCGUANCA
rnacentral:rRNA from 1 species